rnacentral:rRNA from 1 species
UCCAGACUCCUACGGGAGGCAGCAGUGGGGAAUAUUGCACAAUGGGGGAAGCCCUGAUGCAGCGACGCCGCGUGAGUGAAGAAGUAUUUCGGUAUGUAAAGCUCUAUCAGCAGGGAAGAAAAUGACGGUACCUGACUAAGAAGCCCCGGCUAACUACGUGCCAGCAGCCGCGGUAAUACGUAGGGGGCAAGCGUUAUCCGGAUUCACUGGGUGUAAAGGGAGCGUAGACGGCGGCGCAAGUCUGGAGUGAAAGCCCGGGGCCCAACCCCGGGACUGCUCUGGAAACUGUACGGCUGGAGUGCAGGAGAGGUAAGUGGAAUUCCUAGUGUAGCGGUGAAAUGCGUAGAUAUUAGGGGGAACACCAGUGGCGAAGGCGGCUUACUGGACUGUAACUGACGUUGAGGCUCGAAAGCGUGGGGAGCAAACAGGAUUAGAUACCCGAGUA